GGUUAAGCGACUAAGCGUACACGGUGGAUGCCCUGGCAGUCAGAGGCGAUGAAGGACGUGCUAAUCUGCGAUAAGCGUCGGUGAGGUGAUAUGAACCGUUAUAACCGGCGAUUUCCGAAUGGGGAAACCCAGUGUGUUUCGACACACUAUCAUUAACUGAAUCCAUAGGUUAAUGAGGCGAACCGGGGGAACUGAAACAUCUAAGUACCCCGAGGAAAAGAAAUCAACCGAGAUUCCCCCAGUAGCGGCGAGCGAACGGGGAGGAGCCCAGAGCCUGAAUCAGUGUGUGUGUUAGUGGAAGCGUCUGGAAAGGCGCGCGAUACAGGGUGACAGCCCCGUACACAAAAAUGCACAUGCUGUGAGCUCGAUGAGUAGGGCGGGACACGUGGUAUCCUGUCUGAAUAUGGGGGGACCAUCCUCCAAGGCUAAAUACUCCUGACUGACCGAUAGUGAACCAGUACCGUGAGGGAAAGGCGAAAAGAACCCCGGCGAGGGGAGUGAAAAAGAACCUGAAACCGUGUACGUACAAGCAGUGGGAGCCUCUUAAUGGGGUGACUGCGUACCUUUUGUAUAAUGGGUCAGCGACUUAUAUUCUGUAGCAAGGUUAACCGAAUAGGGGAGCCGAAGGGAAACCGAGUCUUAACUGGGCGUUAAGUUGCAGGGUAUAGACCCGGAAACCCGGUGAUCUAGCCAUGGGCAGGUUGAAGGUUGGGUAACACUAACUGGAGGACCGAACCGACUAAUGUUGAAAAAUUAGCGGAUGACUUGUGGCUGGGGGUGAAAGGCCAAUCAAACCGGGAGAUAGCUGGUUCUCCCCGAAAGCUAUUUAGGUAGCGCCUCGUGAAUUCAUCUCCGGGGGUAGAGCACUGUUUCGGCAAGGGGGUCAUCCCGACUUACCAACCCGAUGCAAACUGCGAAUACCGGAGAAUGUUAUCACGGGAGACACACGGCGGGUGCUAACGUCCGUCGUGAAGAGGGAAACAACCCAGACCGCCAGCUAAGGUCCCAAAGUCAUGGUUAAGUGGGAAACGAUGUGGGAAGGCCCAGACAGCCAGGAUGUUGGCUUAGAAGCAGCCAUCAUUUAAAGAAAGCGUAAUAGCUCACUGGUCGAGUCGGCCUGCGCGGAAGAUGUAACGGGGCUAAACCAUGCACCGAAGCUGCGGCAGCGACACUAUGUGUUGUUGGGUAGGGGAGCGUUCUGUAAGCCUGUGAAGGUGGCCUGUGAGGGUUGCUGGAGGUAUCAGAAGUGCGAAUGCUGACAUAAGUAACGAUAAAGCGGGUGAAAAGCCCGCUCGCCGGAAGACCAAGGGUUCCUGUCCAACGUUAAUCGGGGCAGGGUGAGUCGACCCCUAAGGCGAGGCCGAAAGGCGUAGUCGAUGGGAAACAGGUUAAUAUUCCUGUACUUGGUGUUACUGCGAAGGGGGGACGGAGAAGGCUAUGUUGGCCGGGCGACGGUUGUCCCGGUUUAAGCGUGUAGGCUGGUUUUCCAGGCAAAUCCGGAAAACCAAGGCUGAGGCGUGAUGACGAGGCACUACGGUGCUGAAGUGACAAAUGCCCUGCUUCCAGGAAAAGCCUCUAAGCAUCAGGUAACAUCAAAUCGUACCCCAAACCGACACAGGUGGUCAGGUAGAGAAUACCAAGGCGCUUGAGAGAACUCGGGUGAAGGAACUAGGCAAAAUGGUGCCGUAACUUCGGGAGAAGGCACGCUGAUAUGUAGGUGAAGCGACUUGCUCGUGGAGCUGAAAUCAGUCGAAGAUACCAGCUGGCUGCAACUGUUUAUUAAAAACACAGCACUGUGCAAACACGAAAGUGGACGUAUACGGUGUGACGCCUGCCCGGUGCCGGAAGGUUAAUUGAUGGGGUUAGCGGUAACGCGAAGCUCUUGAUCGAAGCCCCGGUAAACGGCGGCCGUAACUAUAACGGUCCUAAGGUAGCGAAAUUCCUUGUCGGGUAAGUUCCGACCUGCACGAAUGGCGUAAUGAUGGCCAGGCUGUCUCCACCCGAGACUCAGUGAAAUUGAACUCGCUGUGAAGAUGCAGUGUACCCGCGGCAAGACGGAAAGACCCCGUGAACCUUUACUAUAGCUUGACACUGAACAUUGAGCCUUGAUGUGUAGGAUAGGUGGGAGGCUUUGAAGUGUGGACGCCAGUCUGCAUGGAGCCGACCUUGAAAUACCACCCUUUAAUGUUUGAUGUUCUAACGUUGGCCCCUAAUCGGGGUUGCGGACAGUGUCUGGUGGGUAGUUUGACUGGGGCGGUCUCCUCCUAAAGAGUAACGGAGGAGCACGAAGGUUGGCUAAUCCUGGUCGGACAUCAGGAGGUUAGUGCAAUGGCAUAAGCCAGCUUGACUGCGAGCGUGACGGCGCGAGCAGGUGCGAAAGCAGGUCAUAGUGAUCCGGUGGUUCUGAAUGGAAGGGCCAUCGCUCAACGGAUAAAAGGUACUCCGGGGAUAACAGGCUGAUACCGCCCAAGAGUUCAUAUCGACGGCGGUGUUUGGCACCUCGAUGUCGGCUCAUCACAUCCUGGGGCUGAAGUAGGUCCCAAGGGUAUGGCUGUUCGCCAUUUAAAGUGGUACGCGAGCUGGGUUUAGAACGUCGUGAGACAGUUCGGUCCCUAUCUGCCGUGGGCGCUGGAGAACUGAGGGGGGCUGCUCCUAGUACGAGAGGACCGGAGUGGACGCAUCACUGGUGUUCGGGUUGUCAUGCCAAUGGCACUGCCCGGUAGCUAAAUGCGGAAGAGAUAAGUGCUGAAAGCAUCUAAGCACGAAACUUGCCCCGAGAUGAGUUCUCCCUGAGACUUAGAGUCUCCUGAAGGAACGUUGAAGACGACGACGUUGAUAGGCCGGGUGUGUAAGCGCAGCGAUGCGUUGAGCUAACCGGUACUAAUGAACCGUGAGGCUUAACCUU
rnacentral:rRNA from 1 species